rnacentral:rRNA from 1 species
AGCAGCCGCGGUAAUUCCAGCUCCAAUAGCGUAUAUUAAAGUUGUUGCAGUUAAAAAGCUCGUAGUUGAAUUUCGGGACUAAUAUGUCGGUCGUACUUUGUACGUACUAGCAUUAUUGGUUUCCUCCCUUCUGACGAACCACGAUGCCAUUAAUUUGGUGUCGCGGGAAAUCAGGACUGUUACUUUGAAAAAAUUAGAGUGUUUAAAGCAAGCUCGCGCUUGAAUACAUUAGCAUGGAAUAAUGAAAUAGGACGUUUGAUUCUAAUUUUGUUGGUUUCUAGGAUCGACGUAAUGAUUAAUAGGGAUAGUUGGGGCAUUAGUAUUCAAUUGUCAGAGGUGAAAUUCUUGGAUUUA